AACCUAGCACACCUGCGGUGUGUACCUGCGGAGGGAUCAUUACAAGUGACCCCGGUCUAACCACCGGGAUGUUCAUAACCCUUUGUUGUCCGACUCUGUUGCCUCCGGGGCGACCCUGCCUUCGGGCGGGGGCUCCGGGUGGACACUUCAAACUCUUGCGUAACUUUGCAGUCUGAGUAAAUUUAAUUAAUAAAUUAAAACUUUUAACAAUGGAUCU
rnacentral:misc_RNA from 1 species